rnacentral:pre_miRNA from 1 species
CUGGUUUGGGGUCUGAGAAGUCAGUGUUCUUGGAGCAUCUCCACCAUGGCCUGGGCUCUGGUCCUCCUUACCUUCCUCACUCAGGACACAGAUGA